rnacentral:rRNA from 1 species
GAGGACUAGAAUCAACGGCACCACGAGGAUCCUACUGUCUCCCUACUCCAAUCAGUGAAACUGAUCUCUCCGUGAAGAAGCGGGGAUACAAAUAUAAGACGAGAAGACCCCAUGGAGCUUUAAACCCAACGACACCCAUUUUCUUUAUACCCUANUAUUCAUUUGGCUAUGUUUGAUUGGUUUUAGGUUGGGGUGACCACGGAGCAUAAAAUAACCUCCACGAAGAAGAGACUAAUAAUCUUUAUCAAAGAAGUACACUUCUAAGAAUUAACAAAUUAAUUUCCAAUGAUCCGAUAUUCGAUCAACGAACCAAGUUACCCUGGGGAUAACAGCGCAAUCCACCUCAAGAGCUCCUAUCGACAGGUGGGUUUACGACCUC